AACGCACGAGACCUGCGGACCUGCGGAAGGAUCAUUAAUGAGAAGCUGCCCCUCGUGGGUAGACCUCCCACCCUCUGUGAACUUACCUUUGUUGCUUUGGCAGGCCCGUCCUCUGGACCGCCGGCUUCGGCUGGCCCGUGCCUGCCAGAGGAUUCCAAACCCUGUCUGUCAGGGUUGUCUGAGUCUAUAUGAAAUCGUUAAAACUUUUAACAAUGGAUCUCUAGAUCGGAAGAGCACACG
rnacentral:misc_RNA from 1 species